UGUAGAACCCUAAACGUUUGCCCCCUGUUCAAUUUGAUAAAUUGAUUUCAGCAUGAUAUGGAUAUUAGCCUCUGGGGAAGAAUCCAGGCUCUGAAUUGAAUGAGUUAAGUCAUAUUAUAUAAAACACUCAAAGUAAUGGAGAUGUAGCAUCUACAGCCUCAGUUACACCUGGCACCCUAAAUGUGACUUCUGUCAUCUGAUCACUCCAAACUGCAUUCUGGUCAGAUCUACCAGGAUGGGCAUUGUGUUCGGAAUUUGAGUCAGGCCACUGAAUAUGCAUAAGCAAUGUAAAGAGGUGCGGAAAAGUACAUUUGACACAAAUUACCUUCAUAAUAUCAAAGAACAAAUUCAUGUGCCUGAGGGGAAAUUAACUUUCAUACAGCCAAAAGGGGUGAGAAAUUACACCAAUAUCAGUGGACAAUUUGCCUAAACAGCGUGGCCAACCAGCAUGGUUAUGGUCAAAGAGACUAACUACCGGAGACCAGUUAGAACCCAACUAACAGUAAGCCAAGGUGGAAAAAGUUAAACUCCUGUAGUUAAUCCGUACGAACGAGCACAAAUUAAUCAAUACCAAUCAGGUGUUGGACGAAAUGAUUCUUCAGACGUCAUUGAUCACGUGCUGCUGAUAAACGGACACUGCUUUGAAUUAUACCGCUUAGCGACUUCAGUACAUGCCUCAUUGCUCCAGUCUCAAACUUAACCACGUUCCUGCUGAAGAAGAGGAGGUCUGCUGGAUGGAGAAAGAAGCUCUCGUGAAAGAGGUGGAGGAAGAGGAGGCUUUUACAAUACAAAAACAAGUAGAGGUUGAGGCUGUUACCGUGAAUGAAGGGAAAGACGUCUCAGUUAAAGAAGAGGGAGACUCGUUCAGAGUUAAUAAAGAGGAGGACGACGACGUUUCAGUUAACGAAGAGGGGGAGGUGACUGUCACAUCGGAAAAUGAAGAAGAGGAGGAAACUGGAUAUCUGGGCCCGGUUUCCCAAGCGCAUCUUAAGGCGUCCGAUGGUUCUAACGAUGAACCGGCCCUGAUUAACACUAGAGAGAGACCUGACUAUCGUGGAUCCUCUGGGGGGCCUCAACAACCUCAUGAUGCUGACAGGGCAGAGAAGAGUCUCUCCACAUCGAAACACCAGCAGAGACCCACAGGGAAGAAAUCUCAUUGCUGCUCUGACUGUGGGAAAGGUUGCAUAUCUUCAUCAAAACUUAAAAUACACCAGAGAACACACACAGGAGAGAAGCCUUAUAGCUGUGAUCAAUGUGGGAGGAGUUUUACUACAUCUAGUGGUCUGAUAGUACACCAGAGAACACACACAGGAGAGAAACCUUAUAGCUGUGAUCAAUGUGAGAAGAGUUUUCCUACAUCUAGCCAGCUGACCUCACACCAGAGAACACACACAGGAGAGAAGCCUUAUAGCUGUGAUCAAUGUGAGAAGAGUUUUCCUACAUCUAGCCAGCUGACCUCACACCAGAGAACACACACAGGAGAGAAACCUUUUAGCUGUGAUCAAUGUGACAAGAGAUACUCUGAUAAAAGAUCUCUGAUCAAACAUCAGAAAAUACAUACAUGAAGAAGUUGUUUCAUGAUAUCACUGAAAUAAUGUCACAAUGUAAAAUGUUUUAACAUUGUAGUAGGAGUAUUUUAAUGAUGUCACAAUGUAGAAUGUUUUAACAUUGUAGUAGGAGUAUUUUAAUGAUGUCACAAUGUAGAAUGUUGUAACAUUGUAGUGGGAGUAUUUUAAUAGUGUCACAAUGUAGAAUGUUGUAACAUUGUAGUAGGAGUAUUUUAAUGAUGUUCUACCUUAUUGUUUACCCUGUUCAAUUGAUUGCAGCAUGAUAUGGAUAUUAACCUCAGGGAGAAAUCCAGGCUCUGAAUUAAGAGUAUUAUUUAACAAAAAGUGACUAACAAAAAAAAGAGCUGUGUUCCACUUACUGUGUUGGUGACUCACUUUAAUCAACAUGCAGCACUUCAAAAUGUAGUGAGCUGUUUUCUUCAAGUGGAAGAAAAAUGCAUGUAAUAUGAUAAUUGUUGCAGAUGUGUGUGUGUAUAUAUAUACACACAUGAAAACAGUAUAAUAAAUUGGUCUAUAAUCAAUUUUAUUAACAAUCUGACA